CAAGGAAGCAGCUGUCCCAACAAUCCUGCACAACACAACUCACCACCUCACUCCCACCAGCAGCAAAAACUCCCUCCAAAAGCCUCCCCAGCCACCUCCAUCCAGCUCCUCCUGCACUCUCAUCCAGGGGGACCUCUACAACCAUUCUCUGCUACAUCAGCUUCUGCCUUCCCUCAAUAAGGAACAGCAACUCUCAGCCCCAGGGAUAACUCCGCAGGGAGGGAAGCACUCUGGCAGCAACCUGAAGCGCGUGGUGCAACUGCUCACAGACAGAAGCUGUUCUCUAAUCAAACACUGACGCAGCUUCAUAUUUCAGGCUCAGAGUGCCAACAUUUCUUGGACCUUUACACCUGCACUCAUCACUAACAGCAGCAACUCACACAGGACACAGAAGGCAGCCUUGCUAAGCGUCUUUCAACUGGAAAGAAAUAGGAAUAAGAUAUUUUUCAUAAGAAUAUAUGCUUUAAAGCAUUGAAACAUGCUCUUUGAUGUCUACUGGUUAAGGCCUGGGCCUACAGUAACUAAAAGAUCUCCACGUUGCCAGAGCUUACCUUUCAUAAACACUCACAUCGGGUUCACCUUGGGUGCUCCUUUAGGAUCCUCGAUGACUCUACUUUGAACUACACAAGGAGCAAAUGACUCUCGGACACCAUCACCUUCCAACUGAGCCUACACGUUCCAAUGCUGUUCUCAUCUGCUCAUAACUAAUGUGUGCGUUACUUAGGAAAGAGCAACAGCAGUGCUGCAGUCCCACGCACUGAUUUCAUUACUGUACAGAAACACGCUGCUGUAAAUUAACCAGUACAUAAUGAUUCGUCAUAAAUAAUUACAACUAAAAGUGCAACUGACAGAAUGAACGAAGCACAAACACGAUGUAAUCCUGUAUUCUUCUUAUCCUACCUGAUAACGUCCUGAUUUAGCUCAAACACCAAAUCUGAGUCUGCUUAAACACAGGAUAGAAUUCUUCUCUUUUCUAGGUAGACAUAGGACUGUCUGACAAAACCUGCUGCUUCAAUCUCUCCGGGAAUCCUCUGUAUCCUGCUCCAUCACGGCUUGCAGCUCCCUGCCAGGUCUUCUCUGAGGAACAGAUGGAAAUUAUAAGGAACGGGAAUGUUCUCCUUUACUGUGUUCGGCAGAAUUCCAUGAUGGAAUGGGGUAUGAACAGCAAAUGAGAUUGGCCCAUGGGAAAAGAUCACUUGUAGCUGCCCUCUGACAGUAGGAAAAGGAUCUUCUUCCCAUCUGUUGCUGCCUACACUCAUCACAGCCUUGCUUGGAGUCUGAGUGAAGGGCCUGCCAGCCUGCUCUGCUGCACAGAAACCCCGUAGAGAACCCAGGGUGUUCUAAAGGAAAGCCUUCAGGCACUGUGUGAUGCUGGGGAAAAGAGGUCAUAUGUUUGGCUCCAGCAGAACUGCAUUCCCCUGGCUCCUGACUUCUGGUUAAAGCAUUGUAGCUGAGAGCAGCAACCCACAGAACCACACCAUGGAUGAGGACACUGGUAGCUUUGCACUGAAUACAGACCAGCAGAGCUUAUAAUUCCCUCUUCUUUGCAAUGCUGAUGGAUUGAUCUUGACUUUGCUGAUCUGCCAGGACAGAGCAGCUGACACCUGACUCCUCCAUGCUGCACUGGGUGCUCACAGCUGUGUGAGCCACAGUUUUAAGCACACAACAAACUCCCACAGACCGACUUCAUUUCUUUUUUUUUUUUUUUCUUUAGGCAAGUCUCUCUUAGUAUUUUAAAAAUUCAUUUUAAUCAAUUUAAAAUUAAUAAAGAAACAGUGAAAUCCUC
ensembl:lncRNA